AAAAAAACAAUGAGAAGGAAUAGUAGAAAGAACCAUGUGAUAGAGAGCGUAUGGCUGGUGGAAAUACGUACAGAAGCUUUUGAACUCGCCUUUAAGUUACUUUUUUGAACAAACCAAGUAGGAAAAGUCGGUGACGAUCGUUAAGACGUUUGAGGUUAAGGUGACGGUGACUGACCGUUUCUUUGACGAAUUUAGGUGGUACCACGUUGCAUUUGUAUGUUCACGUCCUAUAG
rfam:Sphingobacterium faecium PCAi_F2.5 genome assembly, contig: Scaffold34